rnacentral:rRNA from 1 species
GUCCACGCCCUAACGAUGAUGACUAGUUGUUGGAGGAGUUAAAUCCUUAGUAACGCAGCUAACGCGAGAAGUCAUCCGCCUGGGAGUACGGUCGCAAGAUUAAACUCAAGGAAUUGACGGGGCCCGCACAAGCGGUGGAUGAUGUGGUUUAAUUCGACGCAACGCGAAACCUUACCUACCCUUGACAUGUACGGAACCUCACAGAGAUGUGGGGUGCCCCGAAAGGGAGCCGUAACACAGGUGCUGCAUGGCUGUCGU